rnacentral:rRNA from 1 species
UACGGAGGUCCCAAGCGUUGUUCGGAUUCACUGGGCGUAAAGGGUGCGUAGGUGGUGGGGUAAGUUUGAUGUGAAAGCUCCGAGCUUAACUCGGAAAUGGCAUUGAAUACUAUCCUGCUUGAGGUUUGGAGGGGGGACUGGAAUUCUCGGUGUAGCAGUGAAAUGCGUAGAUAUCGAGAGGAACACCAGUGGCGAAGGCGAGUCCCUGGACAACACCUGACACUGAGGCACGAAAGCUAGGGGAGCAAACGGG